ACGAACGCUGGCGGCGUGCUUAACCCAUGCCAGUCGAACGGAAAGGCCCUGCUUUUGUGGGGUGCUCGCGUGGCGAACGGGUGAGUAACACGUGAGUAACCUGCCCUUGACUUUGGGAUAACUUCAGGAAACUGGGGCUAAUACCGGAUAGGAGCUCCUGCUGCAUGGUGGGGGUUGGAAAGUUUCGGCGGUUGGGGAUGGACUCGCGGCUUAUCAGCUUGUUGGUGGGGUAGUGGCUUACCAAGGCUUUGACGGGUAGCCGGCCUGAGAGGGUGACCGGCCACAUUGGGACUGAGAUACGGCCCAGACUCCUACGGGAGGCAGCAGUGGGGAAUAUUGCACAAUGGGCGGAAGCCUGAUGCAGCAACGCCGCGUGCGGGAUGACGGCCUUCGGGUUGUAAACCGCUUUCGCCUGUGACGAAGCGUGAGUGACGGUAAUGGGUAAAGAAGCACCGGCUAACUACGUG
rnacentral:rRNA from 1 species